rnacentral:rRNA from 1 species
UUCAAUUUUUGAAGUUUUUCUAGCUUUUUUGUUGGGUGAAAUCAGUAUAAGAAGCUCUUUCUUCUUUAAAAAUUAGUAGGAACUAAAAAACUUUGAUUUAAAACCAGGAUUAGAUACCCUGUUAUUCUUAGUUAUUCUUAAACAGGGUAGUAAAAGUUGUUCUUCAAACCCAAAGAUUUUGGCGGCACUUUAUCCAAAUAGAGGAGCUUGUCCCUUAAUCGAUAGUCCUCGUUUUAUCUUUCCUUCAUUUGUAAAGCUUGUAUACCGCCGUUGUCAGAUUACUUUUAGAGAAUGUUUUCAAGUUAAAAGACUUUAUAACUUCAGGUCAAGGUGCAGUUUAUAUGGGGGUGGAGGUGAGCUACAGUUUUCUUUAGAAAAUACGGAUUCUAAGCUUUGAAGCUAGCUGAAGGUGGAUUUACUAGUAAAGUAA